UGGGGAAUCUUGCACAAUGGGGGCAACCCUGAUGCAGCGACGCCGCGUGAGCGAUGAAGGUUUUCGAAUCGUAAAGCUCUGUCCUAUGGGAAGAUAAUGACGGUACCAUAGGAGGAAGCCCCGGCUAACUACGUGCCAGCAGCCGCGGUAAUACGUAGGGGGCGAGCGUUGUCCGGAAUUACUGGGCGUAAAGGGUUCGCAGGCGGCAUGGCAAGUCCGAUGUAAAAGGCGAAGGCUCAACCUUCGUAAGCAUCGGAAACUGUCAAGCUUGAGUGAAGGAGAGGCAAGUGGAAUUCCUAGUGUAGCGGUGGAAUGCGUAGAUAUUAGGAGGAAUACCGGUGGCGAAGGCGACUUGCUGGACUUCAACUGACGCUGAGAAACGAAAGCGUGGGUAGCAAACAGG
rnacentral:rRNA from 1 species